rnacentral:rRNA from 1 species
UACGUAGGCAGCAAGCGUUGUUCGGAGUUACUGGGCGUAAAGGGUGCGUAGGCGGCUUUUAAGUCUGGUGUGAAAUCUCCCGGCUCAACUGGGCGGGGUCAGCGGAUACGGUCUCACUUGAGCAAGCUAGGGGGCAAUGGAAUUCCCGGUGUAGUGGUGGAAUGCGUAGAUAUCGGGAGGAACACCAGUGGCGAAGGCGGUUGCCUGGGGCUUGCUGACGCUGAUGCGCGAAAGCGUGGGGAGCGAGUCCGG